GAUGAACGCUGGCGGCGUGCCUAAUACAUGCAAGUCGAGCGAACAGACGAGGAGCUUGCUCCUCUGACGUUAGCGGCGGACGGGUGAGUAACACGUGGAUAACCUACCUAUAAGGCUGGGAUAACUUCGGGAAACCGGAGCUAAUACCGGAUAAUAUAUUGAACCGCAUGGUUCAAUAGUGAAAGACGGUUUUGCUGUCACUUAUAGAUGGAUCCGCGCCGCAUUAGCUAGUUGGUAAGGUAACAGCUUACCAAGGCGACGAUGCGUAGCCGACCUGAGAGGGUGAUCGGCCAGCCGGGAACUGAGACACGGUCCAGACUCCGAGGGGAGGAAGCAGUAGGGAAUCUUACGCGAUGGGGGAAAGCUUGACGGAGCAACGCCGCGUGAGUGAUGAAGGUGUUCGGAUCGUAAAACGCUGUUAUUAGGGAAGAAGAAAUGUGUAAGUACCUAUGCACGUAUUGACGGUACCGAAUCAGAAAGCCACGGCUAACUACGUG
rnacentral:rRNA from 1 species